rnacentral:rRNA from 1 species
GAUGAACGCUGGCGGCGUGCCUAAUACAUGCAAGUCGAGCGAACAGACGAGGAGCUUGCUCCUCUGACGUUAGCGGCGGACGGGUGAGUAACACGUGGCUAACCUACCUAUAAGACUGGGAUAACUUCGGGAAACCGGAGCUAAUACCGGAUAAUAUAUUGAACCGCAUGGUUCAAUAGUGAAAGACGGUUUUGCUGUCACUUAUAGAUGGAUCCGCGCCGCAUUAGCUAGUUGGUAAGGUAACGGCUUACCAAGGCAACGAUGCGUAGCCGACCUGAGAGGGUGAUCGGCCACACUGGAACUGAGACACGGUCCAGACUCCUACGGGAGGCAGCAGUAGGGAAUCGUCCGCAAUGGGCGAAAGCUUGACGGAGCAACGCCGCGUGAGUGAUGAAGGUCUUCGGAUCGUAAAACUCUGUUAUUAGGGAAGAACAAAUGUGUAAGUAACUAUGCACGUCUUGACGGUACCUAAACAGAAAGCCACGGCUAACUACGUG